GUCUAUGGCCAUGCCACCCUAAACAAACCUAAUGUCUGAUCUUGGAAGUUGAGCAGGGUUGGGCCUGGUUAGUACUUGGAUGGGAGACCACCUAGAAAGACUAGAUGCUCUAGGCA
rnacentral:rRNA from 1 species